GGCAGAUGACACGCACUUGCAAGUAAUUCUCCCCAAUGGAAGGCUUGAAAAGGCUGAUGGAGGUGCUUUGAGGACGUGCUUUUAAAGGACACCUGUUACCGACGGAGAAGACAAGAAUGCAGUCUUACCUUCCUGAACGUAGGAGCUGCUGCUCUGCUGUUGCUUUGAUCGGUUCUUUUGAUGUGAUUUUGGUGUUUUAAACCAACCAAAUAAACUAACUGACUGAUCAAACCAG